rnacentral:tRNA from 1 species
GGGCCCGUGGCCUAGUUAGGAUAGGGCGUCAGCCCUCUAAGCUGAUGGUCGUGGGUUCAAAUCCCACCGGGCCCGCCA